rnacentral:rRNA from 1 species
CACGUGGGUAACCUGCCCAAGAGAUCGGGAUAACACCUGGAAACAGAUGCUAAUACCGGAUAACAACAGAUGAUGCCUAUCAACUGUUUAAAAGAUGGUUCUGCUAUCACUCUUGGAUGGACCUGCGGUGCAUUAGCUAGUUGGUAGGGUAACGGCCUACCAAGGCGAUGAUGCAUAGCCGAGUUUAGAGACUGAUCGGCCACAUUGGGACUGAGACACGGCCCAAACUCCUACGGGAGGCAGCAGGG